UAUUUAGGUAGUGCCUCGAGCAAGACACUGAUGGGGGUAAAGCACUGUUAUGGCUAGGGGGUUAUUGCAACUUACCAACCCAUGGCAAACUCAGAAUACCAUCAAGUGGUUCCUCGGGAGACAGACAGCGGGUGCUAACGUCCGUUGUCAAGAGGGAAACAACCCAGACCGCCAGCUAAGGUCCCCAAUGAUAGAUUAAGUGGUAAACGAAGUGGGAAGGCUCAGACAGCCAGGAUGUUGGCUUAGAAGCAGCCAUCAUUUAAAGAAAGCGUAAUAGCUCACUGGUCGAGUCGUCCUGCGCGGAAGAUGUAACGGGGCUCAAAUCUAUAACCGAAGCUGCGGAUGCCGGUUUACCGGCAUGGUAGGGGAGCGUUCUGUAGGCCGAUGAAGGUGCAUUGUAAAGUGUGCUGGAGGUAUCAGAAGUGCGAAUGUUGACAUGAGUAGCGAUAAAGCGGGUGAAAAGCCCGCUCGCCGAAAGCCCAAGGUUUCCUGCGCAACGUUCAUCGGCGUAGGGUGAGUCGGCCCCUAAGGCGAGGCAGAAAUGCGUAGUCGAUGGGAAACAGGUUAAUAUUCCUGUACUUGAUUCAAAUGCGAUGUGGGGACGGAGAAGGUUAGGUUGGCAAGCUGUUGGAAUAGCUUGUUUAAGCCGGUAGGUGGAAGACUUAGGCAAAUCCGGGUCUUCUUAACACCGAGAAGUGACGACGAGUGUCUACGGACACGAAGUAACCGAUACCACGCUUCCAGGAAAAGCCACUAAGCUUCAGUUUGAAUCGAACCGUACCGCAAACCGACACAGGUGGGCAGGAUGAGAAUUCUAAGGCGCUUGAGAGAACUCAGGAGAAGGAACUCGGCAAAUUGAUACCGUAACUUCGGGAGAAGGUAUGCCCUCUAAGGUUAAGGACUUGCUCCGUAAGCCCCGGAGGGUCGCAGAGAAUAGGUGGCUGCGACUGUUUAUUAAAAACACAGCACUCUGCUAACACGAAAGUGGACGUAUAGGGUGUGACGCCUGCCCGGUGCUGGAAGGUUAAUUGAAGAUGUGAGAGCAUCGGAUCGAAGCCCCAGUAAACGGCGGCCGUAACUAUAACGGUCCUAAGGUAGCGAAAUUCCUUGUCGGGUAAGUUCCGACCCGCACGAAUGGCGUAACGAUGGCCACACUGUCUCCUCCUGAGACUCAGCGAAGUUGAAGUGGUUGUGAAGAUGCAAUCUACCCGCUGCUAGACGGAAAGACCCCGUGAACCUUUACUGUAGCUUUGCAUUGGACUUUGAAGUCACUUGUGUAGGAUAGGUGGGAGGCUUAGAAGCAGAGACGCCAGUCUCUGCGGAGCCGUCCUUGAAAUACCACCCUGGUGUCUUUGAGGUUCUAACCCAGACCCGUCAUCCGGGUCGGGGACCGUGCAUGGUAGGCAGUUUGACUGGGGCGGUCUCCUCCCAAAGCGUAACGGAGGAGUUCGAAGGUUACCUAGGUCCGGUCGGAAAUCGGACUGAUAGUGCAAUGGCAAAAGGUAGCUUAACUGCGAGACCGACAAGUCGAGCAGGUGCGAAAGCAGGACAUAGUGAUCCGGUGGUUCUGUAUGGAAGGGCCAUCGCUCAACGGAUAAAAGGUACUCCGGGGAUAACAGGCUGAUUCCGCCCAAGAGUUCAUAUCGACGGCGGAGUUUGGCACCUCGAUGUCGGCUCAUCACAUCCUGGGGCUGUAGUCGGUCCCAAGGGUAUGGCUGUUCGCCAUUUAAAGUGGUACGUGAGCUGGGUUUAAAACGUCGUGAGACAGUUUGGUCCCUAUCUGCAGUGGGCGUUGGAAGUUUGACGGGGGCUGCUCCUAGUACGAGAGGACCGGAGUGGACGAACCUCUGGUGUACCGGUUGUAACGCCAGUUGCAUAGCCGGGUAGCUAAGUUCGGAAGAGAUAAGCGCUGAAAGCAUCUAAGCGCGAAACUCGCCUGAAGAUGAGACUUCCCUUGCGGUUUAACCGCACUAAAGAGUCGUUCGAGACCAGGACGUUGAUAGGUGGGGUGUGGAAGCGCGGUAACGCGUGAAGCUAACCCAUACUAAUUGCUCGUGAGGCUUGACUCU
rnacentral:rRNA from 1 species